UAUUCAAUAAUAAAAAUUCAAAAAGAAAAGAUUUGACAGAAAUACAAAAAGAAAAAUAGGUUUUAUUCUCUCAAAAAUAUUACACUUGGACCAACGGCUUGGACGAUGAUGCUGAAGACAUAAGUGAAGUUGCUGCUCCUGCCGCCUACGCACGGAAAGGUAAAUUGUGUAAUGCUCGCCUCCGAGCUAGGAUUAAGGUACUCUAUAUCACACAUUUGUCAUACAUAAAUAAAAAUGUAAAUAUACAUGUAUCAAUGUUCAUUAAAACGAAAUUCAUAAUGUCAUAUACUCAUAGCAAAACAACUCUUACCACACUGUAAAAAGUGCUUACAUUAAGAAGUAGCAAAUGGACAAGGAAACGCUAUAAACUUAAAAAACAAAAAAUGCAGAAUCGUUUGACAUUUAUAUUCAAAGUGGUAAAAUUUCAAAACUGAUUUUCCAGAAAUAUAAAUUUUGGCAAAUUUUACUAAAGGAAAAUUCUGAUUCCCUCGCGCAGUUUGUCAACAACCAGCUGGAAGCGAAAUUAAAAACCUGUUCCUUUUUUACAAUAACAGAAAAAAAAAUAUAAAAAAAACCUAUAUAUCCAGCUAGCCAAACAACUGAUUUAAGAUUUAAACAGCUGAAGGAAUGCUGCGUGUAUGUAUAACCAGGCAUUUAAUUUUUUCCUUGUGGAAAGUUAAAUCUGUAAAAAAAUGUCCUCUUUUAUCCCAAUGUUUCGGCAUGCUUUCUUUACAUCCUUCUUUUAUUUAUUUCCAAUGUCCAAUCAAAAAAACUUUUUUUUCUAAAAUCAAACCAAAAACAUAUUAAGUAUUCAGUCACAUCUUAUAUUAAUUGUGCACUCUUUUAUACACUUUUUCUAAUGCAUGGCAUGGUCUGAUCAUAAAAUAAUACAGUUGACUAAAAUAUAUUUUUUAUAUCUAACCACUUUUAUGAUUGCUAACAUACUUGGGAGCCAUUCGAGGAACAAAAUCUGUCUGCGCGGACUAGAAACAUUGUGGAGCAUCAAUAUUAACAUACAAUAGUAGUUCUUAAUUAUAAUAAAUUUGUUUAAAUUUGUAUGUCAAUCUUUGAACUUCUUAAAUUCAUUUUAUUUUCUACAUUAUUGUGAGACAAAUAAAUCUGUAAUGAUUUUAAA